rnacentral:rRNA from 1 species
GACGAACGCUGGCGGCGUGCUUAACACAUGCAAGUCGAACGAAGAGCGAUGGAAGCUUGCUUCUAUCAAUCUUAGUGGCGAACGGGUGAGUAACGCGUAAUCAACCUGCCCUUCAGAGGGGGACAACAGUUGGAAACGACUGCUAAUACCGCAUACGAUCUAAUCUCGGCAUCGAGGAUAGAUGAAAGGUGGCCUCUACAUGUAAGCUAUCACUGAAGGAGGGGAUUGCGUCUGAUUAGCUAGUUGGAGGGGUAACGGCCCACCAAGGCGAUGAUCAGUAGCCGGUCUGAGAGGAUGAACCGCCACAUUGGGAACGAGACAAGGGCCAGACUCCUACGGGAGGCAGCAGGGGGGAAUCUUCCGAAAUGGACGAAAGUCUGACGGAGCAACGGCGCGGGAGUGAUGACGGCCUUCGGGUUGUAAAGCUCCGUUAAUCGGGACGAAAGGCCUUCUUGCGAAUAGUGAGAAGGAUUGACGGUACCGGAAUAGAAAGCCACGGCUAACUACGUG